rnacentral:rRNA from 1 species
UCCAGACUCCUACGGGAGGCAGCAGUGGGGGAUAUUGCACAAUGGGGGGAACCCUGAUGCAGCGACGCCGCGUGGGUGAAGGAGCGUUUCGGCGCGUAAAGCCCUAUCGGCAGGGAAGAGGGAGGACGGUACCUGACUAAGAAGCCCCGGCUAACUACGUGCCAGCAGCCGCGGUAAUACGUAGGGGGCAAGCGUUAUCCGGAUUUACUGGGUGUAAAGGGGGCGCAGACGGCAGCGCAAGCCAGGAGUGAAAGCCCGGGGCCCAACCCCGGGACUGCUCUUGGAACUGCGCGGCUGGAGUGCAGGAGGGGCAGGCGGAAUUCCUGGUGUAGCGGUGAAAUGCGUAGAUAUCAGGAGGAACACCGGUGGCGAAGGCGGCCUGCUGGACUGCGACUGACGUUGAGGCCCGAAAGCGUGGGGAGCAAACAGGAUUAGAUACCCCAGUA